CCUACGGGAGGCAGCAGUGAGGAAUAUUGGUCAAUGGUCGGGAGACUGAACCAGCCAAGCCGCGUGAGGGAUGAAGGUACAGAGUAUCGUACACCUCUUUUGUCAGGGAACAAAGGCGGGGACGUGUCCCCGGAUGAGUGUACCUGAAGAAAAAGCAUCGGCUAACUCCGUGCCAGCAGCCGCGGUAAUACGGAGGAUGCGAGCGUUAUCAGGAUUUUUUGGGUGUAAGGGGGGCGCAGGCGGUCUGUUAAGUCAGCGGUAAAAGCCCGGGGCCAAACCCCGGCCCGCCGUUGAAACUGGCAGUCUCGAGUUGGAGAGAAGUAUGCGGAAUGCGCGGUGUAGCGGUGAAAUGCAUAGAUAUCGCGCAGAACUCCGAUUGCGAAGGCAGCAUGCCGGCUCCACACUGACGCUGAGGCACGAAAGCGUGGGUAUCGAACAGGAUUAGAUACCCUUGUAGUC
rnacentral:rRNA from 1 species